AUUGAACGCUGGCGGCAGGCCUAAUACAUGCAAGUCGAACGAGUGGCGGACGGGUGAGUAAUGUCUAGGCAACUGCCUGAUGGAGGGGGAUAACUACUGAAAACGGUAGCUAAUACCGCAUCACAUCGGAUGUGCCCAGAUGGGAGUAGCUAGUAGGGGGGGUAAAGGCUCAGCUAGGCGACGAGCCCUAGCUGGUCUGAGAGGAUGACCAGCAACAGUGGAACUGGGACACGGUCCCGACUCCUACGGGAGGCAGCAGUGGGGAAUCUUGCACAAUGGGCGCAAGCCUGUUGCAGCCAUGCCGCGUGUAUGAAGAAGGCCUUCGGGUUGUAAAGUACUUUCAGCGGGGAGGCGUUACCCGCAGAAGAAGCACCGGCUAACUCCGUGCCAGCCGCCGCGGUAAUAC
rnacentral:rRNA from 1 species